rnacentral:rRNA from 1 species
CCUACGGGUGGCAGCAGUGAGGAAUAUUGGUCAAUGGACGAGAGUCUGAACCAGCCAAGUAGCGUGAAGGAUGACUGCCCUAUGGGUUGUAAACUUCUUUUAUAAAGGAAUAAAACGAGGCACGUGUGCCUUUUUGCAUGUACUUUAUGAAUAAGGAUCGGCUAACUCCGUGCCUGCAGCCGCGGUAAUACGGAGGGUGCAAGCGUUGUCCGGAAUCAUUGGGCGUAAAGAGUUCGUAGGCGGCAUGUAAAGUCAGGUGUUAAAGGCGCAGGCUCAACCUGUGUAUGGCACUUGAUACUUGCAAGCUGGAAUGCGGUAGAGGUAAAGGGAAUUCCUGGUGUAGCGGUGAAAUGCUUAGAUAUCAGGAGGAACAUCGGUGGUGUAAGCGCUUUACUGGGCCGUAAUUGACGCUGAGGAACGAAAGCCAGGGUAGCAAAUGGGAUUAGAUACCCCGGUAGUC